AAGCAAACAAGUGUAAUCAUCUGGUUGCUCUGGUGCGCGAUUCUGGCUUAGCAGUCUGGAAGAAGCUAAACUUGUUUGUGGGCUUCGUUUUGAUUUUGAUAGUCAUAUUUAUUAGACAUUACUUUGGUCUGGAUUUCAUUAUUAUUCUUAACGAGUCCCUCAGCAAUGUAAACGACCAUCAUUUAUGUGACCGAAUUGGGACUAAACAUCAUUCUGAU
rnacentral:misc_RNA from 1 species